rnacentral:misc_RNA from 1 species
UCCCCGUUAUCCGAGGCGGUUUCGCUAGAGUGCCCGACAUUACUCGCUGGCAACUAACGAUAAGGGUUGCGCUCGUUGCGGGACUUAACCCAACACCUCACGGCACGAGCUGACGACAGCCAUGCAGCACCUGUACUAGCUCCCCGAAGGGUCCUUCAUCUUUCGAAUCCGUACCACUAGCAUGUCAAGCCUUGGUAAGGUUCUUCGCGUUGCAUCGAAUUAAACCACAUACUCCACCGCUUGUGCGGGCCCCCGUCAAUUCCUUUGAGUUUCAGUCCUGCGACCGUACUCCCCAGGCGGGAGGCUUAAUGCGUUAGCUGCGCCACUGAACAGCAAGCUGUCCAACGGCUAGCCUCCAUAGUUUACGGCGUGGACUAC